rnacentral:rRNA from 1 species
AUGACUGAUGCUAUGCGUGAGAUUGCAAGUGCUAUCAACAACACUUGCCAUGCUGAAACACACCUUGACUUGUACAAGGCUGUCAUGGACCUUACUGUGUUUGAUCAAAAUGAUCGCUUGGUUGUUCUAGAUUAUCUCACAGAACAUAAGGCAAAAGGCCUCAACUUUGUGAAGAUGAAUGAUGAAGUCCGUCAAGCAUCGUUCAAACGUAUCUUGAAAGCUAAUCCUGAUCUUCUUUGA